GAUGAACGCUGGCGGCGUGCCUAAUACAUGCAAGUCGAGCGAACGGACGAGAAGCUUGCUUUUCUGAUGUUAGCGGCGGACGGGUGAGUAACACGUGGAUAACCUACCUAUAAGACUGGGAUCACUUCGGGAAACCGGCGCUAAUCCCGGAUAAUAUUUUGAACCGCAUGGUUCAAUAGUGAAAGUCGGUCUUGCUGUAUCUUAUAGAUGGAUCCGCGCUGCAUUAGCUAGUUGGUACGGUAAAGGCCUACGACGGCAACGAUGCAUAGCCGACGUGUGAGGGGGGUAGGCCGCACGGGAACGGAGACACGGACAAUAGUCCUACGGGAGGCAGCAGUAGGGAAUCGGCCGCAGUGGUCGAAAGUCUUACGGAGCAACGGCGAGUGAGUUGUGAAGGUCUUGGGAGCGGAAAACUCGGUUAUGAGUUAAGAACAGAUUUGGAAGUAACUGAGCAGAGCGUGACGGUAACGAAUCAGAAAGCAACGGCUAACUACGUG
rnacentral:rRNA from 1 species